GACGAACGCUGGUGGCGUGCCUAAUACAUGCAAGUAGAACGCUGAAGAGAGGAGCUUACUCUUCUUGGAUGAGUUGCGAACGGGUGAGUAACGCGUAGGUAACCUGCCUUGUAGCGGGGGAUAACUAUUGGAAACGAUAGCUAAUACCGCAUAACAAUGGAUGACACAUGUCAUUUAUUUGAAAGGGGCAAUUGCUCCACUACAAGAUGGACCUGCGUUGUAUUAGCUAGUAGGUGAGGUAAUGGCUCACCUAGGCGACGAUACAUAGCCGACCUGAGAGGGUGAUCGGCCACACUGGGACUGAGACACGGCCCAGACUCCUACGGGAGGCAGCAGUAGGGAAUCUUCGGCAAUGGGGGCAACCCUGACCGAGCAACGCCGCGUGAGUGAAGAAGGUUUUCGGAUCGUAAAGCUCUGUUGUAAGUCAAGAACGGGUGUGAGAGUGGAAAGUUCACACUGUGACGGUAGCUUACCAGAAAGGGACGGCUAACUACGUG
rnacentral:rRNA from 1 species